GUCGGGGUGGCUCAGCCUGGUCAGAGCGCCUGACUCAUAAUCAGGAGGUCGCGGGUUCAACUCCCGCCCCCGACA
rnacentral:tRNA from 1 species